GUUUAUCAGAUUAGUUGUUUACAUUUUUGAAUGUUUAUCAAAGAAGUAAAUGAGAUAGCUGAAUGGACAAACUUUUUAAGAUAAAUGUUUGUAGUCAAACUGAAGAACUUUUGAUAUUAAACUACAAGAACUAUGAGAUGCAUACAAGAAGUUCUAACUCAAAGUCGAGACUAUUUCUUCGCAAGAAUAGAAUUAAUAACGACAUGCACGCAAGAUGAAACGAUUGCUCGAUUUCGUCAUUGAACGUCAUUAGUAUCAUCGACAAAAAGAGUCGUGGAAAAUAGUGAUGCUGAAUUUAAUAGAAAGCCAGAAGUAUCGUGUGCCAAUGAUUUACACAUGGCGAAAUUAACGUUUCGUUGUAAUCAGGGAAGAUUACUUGAUUCUCAAAGUAUCUUCAUGGAAGAUUUUUACUCGUGUAUAAUUCUUUAAAUAUCAAAUAAGUUAAAUUUUGCAAAUGUGUAACUCAAGAAUCCAUGUAUGAACUACCUGAAGCUUCACAAAGGACCCUAUAUGAAAUGCAAGAAGAAAAGCCAGAAAAUGUUUAAAGGAACACUGAGUCGAAAAGAAGAAAUGAAAAAAGACCCUCCACAAGAGGGUGAAAAAUGACUGAUAGAAUUUAUCGCAGAUCUCGACGCAACCACCAUCGCUAUUGUCGCGUUAGCAGAGCGU